CGCCGUCACAGUCCCAGUGAACCUCACACACACCAACCACAACAUCCGGUCUCACCCGCUAGCAUUAGCUUGUAGCCAUAGAUGGACGUAUUUGUGUUUCCUCAAACAUUGGAGGGAAGAAAGUGAGCAUGAAGGACAACGCCGAGGAUAAAAGAAGUAGACGAUAUUCAUUGAAUCAACGAAUUAAACAAAAAAGAGGACUACGUCGUGUAGUUAGCUAACUCAGUGGAGCAGCUGAAGGAGAGCAUGACGUCAUCCGAGCCCCGUAAAAGGAACAUUUAUCCAUGAAAAUAUGGAGAAGCUUUUAGGAGAUACUGCAGAAGUCCACUCUCCAAGGUGCAGCAGACCCGGCACCAGCGCCAUCACCACCUGAGGCACCAGGGCGAACUUGACGAAGACCAGCGAGUAGUAGAGCGCCGGCGGUCGCACGGGCGUGGGCAGGCGGUGGACCAGGUACAAGCCCGCGGAGGACAGAGCCAGGGACAAGGCCCGCCACGUCCGGGGCAGAGACCAGCCGCCGGGCUUCCAGUACUCGGCCAGGCCCAGGCCCAGGAGGGUCCCGCAGUCCCGGGUCAGAGACGUGAAGGAGGACAUGUUGGGGCGGACCCAGUCGGCACGCUGGCACCACUUGUGAGCCAAACUUAAAGACCUGUGAGGGAGGGGAGUUGUCCUGAUUGGCAAACAUCCACCGGAGGGUGCUGUUUCUCCCUCUAAGACAUGUGUGGCCCUCGGUGGAAAAAGUUUGGAGACCCCUUGGAUGGACUUGACACCUCCCACAAUGGAGAGACGAUGUGAGCGCAGUUACAACAAGUCCACAAAAAAGGGUAAAAAAAUAUUUACAUGAAAACAAGAGAGAAACUUCAAAGAGCACAAAGGACAUAAAAGACAUUGAGAAACUUCAAAGAACACAAAGGUCAUAAAAGACAUUGAGAAACUUCAAAGAACACAAAGGACAUAAAAUACAUUGAGAAACUUCACAAGAGAGAAACUUCAAAGAACACAAAGGACAUAAAGACAUUGAGAAACUUCAAAGAACACAAAGGACAUAAAAGACAUUGAGAAACUUCAAAGAACACAAAGGACAUAGAAGACAUUGAGAAACUUCAAAGAACACAAAGGACAUAAAAGACAUUGGAAGAGCUACACACAGCUACAAAAGUAAAAGCACAGCAAAAAGACAAAAAAUGAGCGAUAAAUAAUAAAUAAUUGCAUAUUGCAAUAUGAUUGCAGCGUGCAUAAACACCCAACUAAACACUUGUCCCGAUAACAAUAUUUUGGUACCAAUACCAAAAUUAUUUCAAUACUUUUCGGUACUUUUCUAAAUAAAGGGGAACACAAAAAAAUUCAUUAUUGGCUUUAUUGUAACAAAAAAAUGUUUGAGUACACAAAACAUAUGCUAAUUAUUGUCAUUUAGUCCUUAAAUAAAAUGUUGAACAUACUAGACAACUUGUCUUUUAGUACUAAGUAAACAAACAACGACUCUUAAUUAGUCUGCACUAACAUAUUGUGUCAUUUAUACACCUAUUAUUUUAUACACAUUAUGAGGGACAAACUGUAAACAUUGAUUAUUAAUCUGCUUGUUCAUUUACUGUUAAUAUCUGCUUAUUUUCUGUUUUAACAUGUUCUAUCUACACUUCUGUUAAAAUGUAAUAAUCACUUAUUCUUCUCUUUCAUACUUUACUUUAGUUUUGGAUGAUACCACCGGUACUUUUCAGGGACGGUAUAGUACCAAAUAUGAUUCAUUAGUAUUCCAGUACUAUACCAAUGCAGAUAUACUGUAUAUGUAUAUAUAUAUAUAUAUAUAUACAUAUACAUCCAUCCAUUUUCUACCGCUUGUCCCUUUUGGGGUCGCGGGUUGGUCGCUGGAGCCUAUCUCAGCUGCAUUCAAUAUAUAUAUAUAUAUAUAUAUAUAUAUAUACACAUAUACAUAUUUAUAUUUAUGUCAUGAUCCGUGGGCCGGAUAUGUGUUUUGUUUGUUAUGUUGAGUUAGUUUUGGACUCCCUUAGUUCCUGUUUUGUGCACUUUGGGUGUUUGUUUUGGUUACCAUGGGUGCUAAUAGGUUUCACCUACCUCUGAUUAGUGCUCAGCCCGUUCACCUAAUCAGAGAGCUAUUUAUUCACUUUGCUCGCGGUCUGGCUUCAUGGUUUGCUAUAGGCAACAGUUACGUUUUCAUGAUCCUAACUCUUGCUCCUGUGUUUCCUUAGCUUCCCGUGCGAUCGGUACGUUUUUCUUUUGUUUGUUCUGUCUUUUUGGUACGUUUAUGAUUUAUGAGAAAUAAAUAAUCUCCUACCUCU